AAACUGCACACAUAUACCCAUUUAAACAGAAAACUAUGGACGAGAGUGUGGAUGGUACCGGGGCCCAUUUCUAGUUAGUCUAGACUCUAGAGGCUUGCAUCCACUCUCGACACAAGAGCAGGCACACACUCCUAUAAUCCCCAAAUAAAAAGAAUGAACUCCCAUUUAAACUGAAACGAAAGUGCGGAUGGUACUGGGCCCUCUUGAUGGUGGUUUAGGGGUUUGCAUCCUCUACCACAACAUUAAAUCUCACACCUAUUGAUGUAUGCAUAUAUUAUUACUCUAACAAAUUAUAUUUUAAAUAUAAUAGAGUUCAAGGGUUUUCGUGUUUCUUUUGAGGGUAUGGAAGGAUAAGAGUGCAGUAAAGAAAAAAACGCAGAUAAAGAAAUUUUCGUGCCAUUUAACGAUCCAAAACGACGAUGAACCAAUUGGUAUUACAGCUCUGAAAGGUGUAGAAUAAUACGUGAGCUAACCAUGAGAUACCCCCCGAAGAA